CCCAUUCCUUCUUUCUGAGCCUGUGUGCCAUGGUGAAACUUGUGAGGAACCGUCUGGGAGAGACUGUGCUCAUCUCCCAAGGGCAAGGUGUUCAGGCGUGUGCAUCAACCACAGCCGAUGGCAGCCACAACAAAACCCGGGCUGCUAGCGUGGACGCCCCCGGGAGAGUGAAUGUCAGGCGCCAAGGGAGAAUUUCUUUGGGGGACAACGUACUCACCCGGCAUCGUAUCCUACCCUGCGUCUGUGCCAGGCCAGCUCAUCCAGGAGACAGGAAACAGAGAACUGAUCCCAGGGCACUAGUGUGAAUGAAGCUAGUGAGGAUGAACUCUGAGGACAGCUGCACCUUGAAGACUUUCAGAACAGACAGCAGAGAAAAAUGUGUCAAUACACCAAUUGUGGUGAGGAGCACACUUCUGUGCCAACCUUUAGAAGAACACAAUAAACACACAAGUCUGCAGGGUCUGCAGUGUGACCUCGCCAGUCCCCACACAGCAGCCUCACUGGGACGCCUUCCUUUCUUGUUCUCUGACCCUCCCCCCACACCAGGCGUGGUGCGAGGAGGCUGGACCAGGAGUCAGGAGACUUGGGACUGACUCAUUUCACAACUUUCGGAGACUUUUCCUUUUUCUUCACCUUUGACCUUAGCAGAAUAACGUCGACCUUGCACGAAGCCAAAGAUUAAAUGAGAUAGCUUGUACAAA